CCUACGGGGGCAGCAGUGGGGAAUAUUGGACAAUGGGCGAAAGCCUGAUCCAGCCAUGCCGCGUGUGUGAAGAAGGCCUUCGGGUUGUAAAGCACUUUCAGUGGGGAAGAAAGCCUUGGGGCUAAUACCCUCGAGGAAGGACAUCACCCACAGAAGAAGCACCGGCUAACUCCGUGCCAGCAGCCGCGGUAAUACGGAGGGUGCGAGCGUUAAUCGGAAUUACUGGGCGUAAAGCGCGCGUAGGCGGUCUGAUAAGCCGGUUGUGAAAGCCCCGGGCUCAACCUGGGAACGGCAUCCGGAACUGUCAGGCUAGAGUGAAGGAGAGGAAGGUAGAAUUCCCGGUGUAGCGGUGAAAUGCGUAGAGAUCGGGAGGAAUACCAGUGGCGAAGGCGGCCUUCUGGACUGACACUGACGCUGAGGUGCGAAAGCGUGGGUAGCAAACAGGAUUAGAUACCCUGGUAGUC
rnacentral:rRNA from 1 species